rnacentral:rRNA from 1 species
CUACGGGCUGCUCCAGUGGGGAAUAUUGCACAAUGGGGGGAACCCUGAUGCAGCAACGCCGCGUGGAGGAUGACACUUUUCGGAGCGUAAACUCCUUUUAUAUAGGAAGAAGAUGACGGUACUAUAUGAAUAAGCGCCGGCUAACUCCGUGCCAGCAGCCGCGGUAAUACGGAGGGCGCAAGCGUUACUCGGAAUCACUGGGCGUAAAGAGCGUGUAGGCGGAUUAAAAAGUCAGAAGUGAAAUCCUAUAGCUUAACUAUAGAACUGCUUCUGAAACUCUUAAUCUAGAAUAUGGGAGAGGUAGAUGGAAUUUCUGGUGUAGGGGUAAAAUCCGUAGAGAUCAGAAGGAAUACCGAUUGCGAAGGCGAUCUACUAGAACAUUAUUGACGCUGAGACGCGAAAGCGUGGGGAGCAAACAGGAUUAGAUACCCUGGUAGUC